rnacentral:rRNA from 1 species
CUAGCUACAGGCUUAACACAUGCAAGUCGAGGGGCAUCAGGAAGAAAGCUUGCUUUCUUUGCUGGCGACCGGCGCACGGGUGAGUAACACGUAUCCAACCUGCCCUUUACUCGGGGAUAGCCUUUCGAAAGAAAGAUUAAUACCCGAUAGCAUAAUGAUUCCGCAUGGUUUCAUUAUUAAAGGAUUCCGGUAAAGGAUGGGGAUGCGUUCCAUUAGGUUGUUGGUGAGGUAACGGCCCACCAAGCCUUCGAUGGAUAGGGGUUCUGAGAGGAAGGUCCCCCACAUUGGAACUGAGACACGGUCCAAACUCCUACGGGAGGCAGCAGUGAGGAAUAUUGGUCAAUGGGCGCUAGCCUGUACCAGCCAAGUAGCGUGAAGGAUGAAGGCUCUAUGGGUCGUAAACUUCUUUUAUAUAAGAAUAAAGUGCAGUAUGUAUACUGUUUUGUAUGUAUUAUAUGAAUAAGGAUCGGCUAACUCCGUGCCAGCAGCCGCGGUAAUACGGAGGAUCCGAGCGUUAUCCGGAUUUAUUGGGUUUAAAGGGAGCGUAGGUGGACUGGUAAGUCAGUUGUGAAAGUUUGCGGCUCAACCGUAAAAUUGCAGUUGAUACUGUCAGUCUUGAGUACAGUAGAGGUGGGCGGAAUUCGUGGUGUAGCGGUGAAAUGCUUAGAUAUCACGAAGAACUCCGAUUGCGAAGGCAGCUCACUGGACUGCAACUGACACUGAUGCUCGAAAGUGUGGGUAUCAAACAGGAUUAGAUACCCUGGUAGUCCACACAGUAAACGAUGAAUACUCGCUGUUUGCGAUAUACAGUAAGCGGCCAAGCGAAAGCAUUAAGUAUUCCACCUGGGGAGUACGCCGGCAACGGUGAAACUCAAAGGAAUUGACGGGGGCCCGCACAAGCGGAGGAACAUGUGGUUUAAUUCGAUGAUACGCGAGGAACCUUACCCGGGCUUAAAUUGCAGUGGAAUGAUGUGGAAACAUGUCAGUGAGCAAUCACCGCUGUGAAGGUGCUGCAUGGUUGUCGUCAGCUCGUGCCGUGAGGUGUCGGCUUAAGUGCCAUAACGAGCGCAACCCUUAUCUUUAGUUACUAACAGGUUAUGCUGAGGACUCUAGAGAGACUGCCGUCGUAAGAUGUGAGGAAGGUGGGGAUGACGUCAAAUCAGCACGGCCCUUACGUCCGGGGCUACACACGUGUUACAAUGGGGGGUACAGAAGGCAGCUAGCGGGUGACCGUAUGCUAAUCCCAAAAUCCUCUCUCAGUUCGGAUCGAAGUCUGCAACCCGACUUCGUGAAGCUGGAUUCGCUAGUAAUCGCGCAUCAGCCACGGCGCGGUGAAUACGUUCCCGGGCCUUGUACACACCGCCCGUCAAGCCAUGGGAGCCGGGGGUACCUGAAGUACGUAACCGCAAGGAUCGUCCUAGGGUAAAACUGGUGACUGGGGCUAAAU